ensembl:lncRNA
AGUCAAAUGUUUGCAUUAGAAUUACAGACCAAACAGACAUCUGUCUCUUUAUAUAAAUGUAUUAAGAUGCCCAAGAUUUAUACGCACCUCAAGAUUAAAAUACUUCAAUAAUCUAUUUUCUAAUGUGUUGGUUUCAUCCUACCUUCAAAACCUCAAGCCAAUAAUCUGCUUCCUGUGUAAUCUGUGCUUAAAUGGAAAAUUAUCUGAUUUUUUUACCAGCUAUCCAUUCAAAAUAUUUUCCUUUAUCAUCAUCAUAUCAUUUUGAUAUUUGGCAAAACUAAUACAAUAAAAAAAAUUUCCUUUAAUUGAUUCGUAUUACCAUACAUAGAAAGGUCCAGCAGGACCCCGACUGCCCCCUUUUAAACCAAAGCCAGAACCAGAAAGAGGUCAGAUAUGUGGAGAGUUUGCUGCUGUUGUUGCUUAGUCACUAAGUCACCGCCGACUGUGUUGCAACCCCACAGACUGUAUCCUGGGUUUUGCUGAUAGCUCAGAUGGUAAAGAAUCCACCUGCAAUGCAGGAGACCCCAUUUCGAUCUCUGUAUCAGGAAGAUCCCCUGGAGAAGGGCAUGGCAACCCACUCCAGUAUUCUUGCCUGGAGAAUCUCAUGGAUGGAGGAGCCUAGCAGCUACAGUCCAUGAGGUCGAAAAGUGUCAGACACAACUGAGCAACUAAGCACAGCACAGCACAGACUGUAGCCUGCCAGGCUCCUCUGAUCACGGGACCUCCCAGGCAAGAAUACUGGAGUGGGUUGCCAUUUCCUUCUCUGGGAUAUCUUCCUGGACCAGAGAUCGAACCCAGGUCUCCUGCAUUGGCAGGUGUGUUUUUUACCACUGAGCCACCAGAGUAAGCCCAUGUAGAUAGUGGUUGACCUCAUUUUAGACUAAGGUGGGUUGGUUCCAAUGUUUCCAAGUGCACUCCAAGACGAGAUAAAAAUGUAGUCCUCUCUGUUGUCAGGAUGAUCAGAAAAUCCGUGUGGUGACACGUCAGCAAGCUCAAGGGCUCUGUAGGCAGUGCCUUCCACUUUUUCUAAGAUACUGCAAGCAUGUGCACUUUUCCACAGGCUGAUGUUGAACAUCCUCUAAAUUACAGCUGUGGAAGCCGAACCACGUGUGAGGCCCCGAGCCACAGCAUCCUUCUGGCUCUGGAAACCCAAGUGGGUCACCCUUCACUAUGCUUCUUGGCCCAAGAAGUCACUGCAAAGCAGCAGGUGGACUGGGAGCAGAGCAUUCUCCCUUCACUCCCAAUUGCAGGUGAAGCACCCUGAGGCCUUCGACUUUGAUGCUUACUGUGAAAAAAGAAAGGAAGGGAGCCUCUGAAAAGAGAUCUUGCAAGACUUUUAAGCAAAUGUCCUCGGAUGCACUCUGCCUAAGCUCAGAAGACACCAAAAAGCACAGCGUCAUCGCAUCCUCCCGCAUCCUCAUCUCCCUCGCUCCCAGACCCAGCCAGGUUGUCCGUGGCCUUAAAUGCUGGUUCUCCCUAUUACUGGGCUGCUGCGUUGAAAGCAAAAAACAAACAGAAGUCCCAAAGUUCCACCGUGGUGGUUACCUCCUCCCCGCCGCAAGUAUUUACUCACUUAACCUUAAGAACAGAUACUUUGGCCAUCUGAUGCAAAGAAAGGACUCAUUUGAAAAGACCCUGAUGCUGGGAAAGACUGAAGGCGGGAGAAGGGGACGACAGAGGAUGAGAUGGUUGGAUGGCAUCACCAUUCAACGUGAGUUUGAGCAAACUCCGGGGGACAGUGAAGGACAGGGAAGCCUGGCGUGCUGCGGUCCGUGGGGUCUCAAAGAGUUGGAACUGAACUGAAGGAACAGAUGUCUUCUGUCUUUUGUUUUUGUUGUUGUUGCUGUUGUUUUUGGUAGUGCCUCUUUAUCCACCUACCCAACACAUACACAGAGUUUUGGGCCUGUAAUAAGUGAUCAAUAAUUGUUGGAUUGGAUUGAGCUGAGCUGAGUAGAUUUAAAUUGAAUAGAGCUGGACCUACAAAACACUCAGAAUUGCACUAACAGCAGUAGCGUGAUGGCAUUUUUUCUGUGGUACAUCUGAUAGCUCUGUUUGCCCGGUGUGUCCAUUUUCCCUUAGCAUAGAACAGCACCUGAUUUGCAACCAGAGGAUCACCCUCCCCUACUCACUGUCCAAGGGAUUCACAUACAUGGCUGCAAGGCCACAGCUAGUCCACAGGAUACCUUUGUGCAAAUUAAAGUCAUACACCCCUUCCUCCAGGCAGAACACCAGGCUUGCCCAGCAAGUAGCUGGUGCUGCACUGCCUGGUCAGCUGGAAGUUAUACAUGGUUCACAAUUAGCCUCAGUCGUUCUCAUUUGCAGCAGUACACUUACUCACACUGGCCAAUCAGCCCAUUCAACUUCUCAGGCCACAGUAAAGAGUUUCAGAAACAGAAAUGUGAACUGAGUUGAGCUUAUGAAAGUUAGCCAGAGAACUUUAGCUGGAAUUAUAGAAAUGAGGCAUUCUUACUUUCUGGUGGAAUGAUUAAAUGGCGGCAUACAGAUUUGGAGCUGCACUUGACUAUCAUCAUCAUCAUCAAUGAGGAAGAGUCAGCAAAAGGUGCAUGAGAUGGAAUCAAUGACAGAUUAUGAAUCGUAUCCUAUGAGUACCUGGAUUCAGUCAUGUCUGAAUCAAAUCACCUUUUCAGUUAUGUUUAAAAGCCAAUAAAUUCUUUUUUUUUGAAUAAGCCAGUUUAAUGAUUCUCUGUCAUUUAUAAGCCCAAAAAAAUCUUAACCAGAAUGAUUGUUAUGGCAGGAAGAGAUAAAUCUUACAAUUGAUGGUAUUUAUGUAACUGAAUUUAUCUGGUAUUUUGACAUCAGUGCAGUUCAUAAUCCUUUCAGUAACAGGUAACUCAGUAUAAAUCAAUCUUAUAAACAAGCAUUGUCUUUUCUCCUUCAGUAUACAAU